rnacentral:rRNA from 1 species
CCUACGGGUGGCAGCAGUCGAGAAUCAUUCACAAUGGGGGAAACCCUGAUGGUGCGACGCCGCGUGGGGGAAUGAAGGUCUUCGGAUUGUAAACCCCUGUCAUGUGGGAGCAAAUUAAAAAGAUAGUACCACAAGAGGAAGAGACGGCUAACUCUGUGCCAGCAGCCGCGGUAAUACAGAGGUCUCAAGCGUUGUUCGGAAUCACUGGGCGUAAAGCGUGCGGAGGCUGUUUCGUAAGUCGUGUGUGAAAGGCGCGGGCUCAACCCGCGGACGGCACAUGAUACUGCGAGACUAGAGUAAGGGAGGGGGAACCGGAAUUCUCGGUGUAGCAGUGAAAUGCGUAGAUAUCGAGAGGAACACUCGUGGCGAAGGCGGGUUCCUGGACAUUAACUGACGCUGAGGCACGAAGGCCAGGGGAGCGAAAGGGAUUAGAUACCCCAGUAGUC